UGUGGUUUUUGCAUAAAGAGAUCUAAUUUCUUAUGCUAUAAAUUAACAUUUGCAUAGUUAAUUUGUAAAAAUAUAAUGCAAUGAUAACUAAAUACUCAUUACAAUUAAAUCUUAUGACUGUUGGAAUGCUUCUCAAUGUAACCAUGAUCCUUAUAUAACUAAUAUCUAUUCACAUGUAUCACAUACUUUUUGUUUAGUCAUGCUCUCUCAUUUUU
rnacentral:lncRNA from 1 species